rnacentral:rRNA from 1 species
UACAGAGGGUGCAAGCGUUAAUCGGAAUUACUGGGCGUAAAGCGUGCGUAGACGGUAGCGUAAGUCGGGUGUGAAAGCCCCGGGCUCAACCUGGGAAUUGCAUUCGAGACUGCUCUGCUAGAAUGCGGUAGAGGGUAGUGGAAUUCCCGGUGUAGCAGUGAAAUGCGUAGAGAUCGGGAGGAACACCAGUGGCGAAGGCGGCUACCUGGACCAGCAUUGACACUCAGGCACGAGAGCGUGGGGAGCAAACAGG